GGAGUCUAGCAUGUGCGCGAGUCAUUGGGACGAGCGAAACCUAAAGGCGAAAUGAAAGUGAAGGCGCGCCUAGCGCGUGCCGAGGGAGGAUGGGCCGCGUCAGUCGCGGCCCCGCACUCCCGGGGCGUUUCGUUCUCAUCGCGAGAAGAGGCGCACCCAGAGCGUACACGCUGGGACCCGAAAGAUGGUGAACUAUGCCUGGUCAGGACGAAGUCAGGGGAAACCCUGAUGGAGGUCCGUAGCGAUUCUGACGUGCAAAUCGAUCGUCGGAACUGGGUAUAGGGGCGAAAGACUAAUCGAACCAUCUAGUAGCUGGUUCCCUCCGAAGUUUCCCUCAGGAUAGCUGGCGCUCGCUGUGCGAGUCUCAUCCGGUAAAGCGAAUGAUUAGAGGCAUUGGGGUCGAAACGGCCUCAACCUAUUCUCAAACUUUAAAUGGGUGAGAACUCCGGCUUGCUUAAACGGUGAAGCCGCGAGUUUCGAAACGAAUAAGGAUCAGAGUGCCAAGUGGGCCACUUUUGGUAAGCAGAACUGGCGCUGUGGGAUGAACCAAACGCAGAGUUAAAGCGCCCAAAUCGACGCUUAUGGGAUACCAUGAAAGGCGUUGGUAACUUAAGACAGCAGGACGGUGGCCAUGGAA
rnacentral:rRNA from 1 species